rnacentral:lncRNA from 1 species
UCUUCAUGCGCUGACUGAAGGAACCACUUGCUGCUGCUGCUGCUGCUUCUCUGGUCUCCCUUUCAUUUCCUUGGCCUUUGGUUUCGGCGGAGUGCCUGCCGCCUUUGCUCUCUGCUCCUUCGGCGCCGCUUUCUUCUGAUCGCUUGGAGGUGAUGGUGAUGGCUUCUUCUGAUCAAUAGGUGAUGGUGAUGGCUUCUUCUGAUCAAUAGGUGAUGGUGAUGGCUUUUUCUGAUCAGCGGUUAACGGUGAUGGCUUUUUCUUAGAGGUUUUCCGGUCAUUGACGUUGUUGCUUAGGGUGAUGGAGCCUUGCAGCUUCAGAGCCGAUGGGUUUGUGUUGCUGUUAUCCUUCUUUGCCUGUGCUUUCUUCGGGUUCUCGGGGUGGACCAGGGACCGCGGCUCCCAUGGCCUUGCAGCUAUCCAGCGGUCCAUCCAGCUCCAGCCCCAGCCACCCUUCCCGACUUCAUAGCUGAAGUUUCCUAGACUUGUGGCAGACCUUGCUCUCCACUGCAAAUGAUAAAAUACAUCAUUGUCUUGACACUGUUGAGGUGCACUCACUCACUCAGAAUGCUGCUAUGUGUUCUCUUGAACAAAUUAUGAUUGUCGUGGUUCAGAGUUAAGGCAUGUGUCUAGAUUUAGACUGAAGUUUUGAGCCUUUCGUAAGUUGACUUCAAUCAUAGAUAUUGAUUUAUGUACUAUAAAUGAGCCGCAACAUUAGAAAUAACAGUUAGUAUAAACCUGAUGGUUGAACGCAUAGGCCAUGGCUCGCUCACGCUUCACUGCUGCUUCUUCCCUUUGUUGUAUCCUAGCAAGUAUUUCAUCCAUAGUAUCCGAACCUCCAUUCCAUUCAACCUAAUAAAAGAUGGAACCAAAAAACAAAAAAUGCAAUAUCAUUAACAAAAUAUUACUUUCUCUGACUAGAGUUCUUUGACAAGUGAGUGAGUAAAAAUAAUUUACAAGGAACAUGACUCUUGAGGGUUAACACUCACCUGCAAAUUAUGUAGUUUUGCCUCGAGUUUCAUUUGAU